rnacentral:tRNA from 1 species
GCCUCGUUAGCUCAGUGGCCAGAGCGAUCCCCUCGUAAGGGAUAGGCCGUCGGUUCAACUCCGACACGAGGCUCAA